UACGGAAGGCAGCAGUGGGGAAUAUUGCACAAUGGGCGCAAGCCUGAUGCAGCCAUGCCGCGUGUAUGAAGAAGGCCUUCGGGUUGUAAAGUACUUUCAGUCGUGAGGAAGGUGUUAAGGUUAAUAACCUUAGCAAUUGACGUUAGCGACAGAAGAAGCACCGGCUAACUCCGUGCCAGCAGCCGCGGUAAUACGGGAGGGUGCGAGCGUUAAUCGGAAUUACUGGGCGUAAAGGGCACGCAGGCGGUUAAUUAAGUUGGAUGUGAAAUCCCCGGGCUUAACCUGGGAAUGGCAUUCAAGACUGGUUAGCUAGAGUCUUGUAGAGGGGGUAGAAUUCCAUGUGUAGCGGUGAAAUGCGUAGAGAUGUGGAGGAAUACCGGUGGCGAAGGCGGCCCCUGGGACAAAGACUGACGCUCAUGUGCGAAAGCGUGGGGAGCAAACAGGAUUAGAUACC
rnacentral:rRNA from 1 species